AAAGUUUUAAGUUAAAUAAACUAUUAACCUUCAAAGUUAAAUAUACAUUCCAACCAUUGUAGGCUUUA
rnacentral:tRNA from 1 species